rnacentral:rRNA from 1 species
CUAUACAUGCAGUCGAGCGGACAGAAGGGAGCUUGCUCCCGGAUGUUAGCGGCGGACGGGUGAGUAACACGUGGGUAACCUGCCUGUAAGACUGGGAUAACUCCGGGAAACCGGAGCUAAUACCGGAUAGUUCCUUGAACCGCAUGGUUCAAGGAUGAAAGACGGUUUCGGCUGUCACUUACAGAUGGACCCGCGGCGCAUUAGCUAGUUGGUGGGGUAAUGGCUCACCAAGGCGACGAUGCGUAGCCGACCUGAGAGGGUGAUCGGCCACACUGGGACUGAGACACGGCCCAGACUCCUACGGGAGGCAGCAGUAGGGAAUCUUCCGCAAUGGACGAAAGUCUGACGGAGCAACGCCGCGUGAGUGAUGAAGGUUUUCGGAUCGUAAAGCUCUGUUGUUAGGGAAGAACAAGUGCGAGAGUAACUGCUCGCACCUUGACGGUACCUAACCAGAAAGCCACGGCUAACUACGUGCCAGCAGCCGCGGUAAUACGUAGGUGGCAAGCGUUGUCCGGAAUUAUUGGGCGUAAAGGGCUCGCAGGCGGUUUCUUAAGUCUGAUGUGAAAGCCCCCGGCUCAACCGGGGAGGGUCAUUGGAAACUGGGAAACUUGAGUGCAGAAGAGGAGAGUGGAAUUCCACGUGUAGCGGUGAAAUGCGUAGAGAUGUGGAGGAACACCAGUGGCGAAGGCGACUCUCUGGUCUGUAACUGACGCUGAGGAGCGAAAGCGUGGGGAGCGAACAGGAUUAGAUACCCUGGUAGUCCACGCCGUAAACGAUGAGUGCUAAGUGUUAGGGGGUUUCCGCCCCUUAGUGCUGCAGCUAACGCAUUAAGCACUCCGCCUGGGGAGUACGGUCGCAAGACUGAAACUCAAAGGAAUUGACGGGGGCCCGCACAAGCGGUGGAGCAUGUGGUUUAAUUCGAAGCAACGCGAAGAACCUUACCAGGUCUUGACAUCCUCUGACAACCCUAGAGAUAGGGCUUUCCCUUCGGGGACAGAGUGACAGGUGGUGCAUGGUUGUCGUCAGCUCGUGCCCUGAGAUGUUGGGUUAAGUCCNGCAACGAGCGCAACCCUUGAUCUUAGUUGCCAACAUUCA